UACGUAGGCAGCAAGCGUUGUUCGGAAUUACUGGGCGUAAAGAGUGUGUAGGCGGUGCUCCAAGUCUGGUGUGAAAUCUCCCGGCUUAACUGGGAGGGUGCAUUAGAAACUGGAAUGCUAGAGGAUGGGAGAGGUAAGCGGAAUUCCUGGUGUAGCGGUGAAAUGCGCAGAUAUCAGGAGGAACACCGGUGGCGAAGGCGGCGAUCGUGGGUCGAUACUGACGCUGAGGUGCGAAAGCGUGGGGAGCAAACAGG
rnacentral:rRNA from 1 species